rnacentral:rRNA from 1 species
AUGGCCGUCCAGCCCCCCAACCCGGCUUCUCCUGUUCCCCUCGUCCGGGCAGCCAAUCUCGGCGGCUGGCUCGUCACAGAGGGCUGGAUCCUGCCCUCCCUCUUCGACGGCAUCCCUAACAACGAUCUGCGGGAUGACACGCAGCUGCAGUUCAGGUCCGUCACGCAGAAUGCGUUCAUAGCCGCCGAGAAUGGCGGCGGGGCGGCAUUGGUCGCCAACCGGGCCUCGGCCUUCGGCUGGGAGUCCUUCAAGCUCGGGCGAAUCGACACGAACACGUUCAACUUCAAGGUGUUCAAUGACCAAUUCGUUACCAUCGCCGGUGUUAACGCGGUGGCCACGGCCGCCAUGGCCGGGAAGACAGAGAUGUUCCAGCUACUGCGCAACGACGUUGACAAAAAUAGGAUGAGGAUCAGAGCACCGAAUGGGUCCUUCUUGCAGGCAAAUAAAGAUGGUUCGAUGACGGCAAACUUUGGCGAGAGCACGACCUGGGGAGACGAUGAUCCGUCUGUGUUUGUAGUGACUAUAGUCAAUUGGGUGCCCUCCAUCUUCGAUGGCAUCCCCAACAAAGAUCUCCUGGAUGGCACACAGCUGCAGUUCAAGUCCGUGACGCAGAACGCGUUCGUGGCUGCCGAGAAUGGCGGCGGCGCAGCGUUGGUCGCCAACCGUCCCUCGGCUUCCGGCUGGGAGAGCUUCAAGCUCUGGCGGAUCAACCACAACACCUUCAACUUCAAGGUGUCCAACAACCAGUUUGUGACCGUCUCCGGUGUUAACGUGGUGGCCACGGCCUCCGCGCCGGGGCAGACUGAGACGUUUCAGCUAGUGCGCAGCUACGGCGACAAGAAUAGAAUGAGGAUCAGAGCAUCAAAUGGGUCCUUCUUGCAGGCAAAUAAAGAUGGCUCGGUGACGGCCAACUUCGGCGAGAGCACGACCUGGGGAGACAAUGAUCCGUCCGUGUUUGCAGUGAACAUAGUCAACGGGCCACAAGGGGAGUACCAGAUUUGCAAUGGCUACGGCAAAGAUAUGGCUACACAAGUCAUGAAUAACCACUGGAGCACAUAUAUCGUGGAAACCGAUUUCGCGUUCAUGGCAGCAAACAGUCUGAACGCGGUGAGGAUCCCUGUGGGAUGGUGGAUCGCCAGCGACCCCAACCCUCCAGCUCCAUUCGUGGGAGGCUCUCUCCAAGCAUUGGACAUCGCGUUCACAUGGGCAGAGAGGCACAACAUUCACGUGAUAAUAGACUUGCAUGCCGCACCUGGGUCGCAGAACCCCGACGCGCAUAGCGGUGGUAGGGAUGGCUCGCAGACAUGGGGAGACUCCCAAAUCGUGCAAACUGUGCAAGUCAUUGAUUUCCUCGCCGCAAGGUACGCCAAGAGAUCAAGGCUCCUGGCCGUGGAGUUGAUGAAUGAGCCGGUUGCUCCCGGCGUGUCCUUAGAUAGCCUGAAAACAUACUACCAACAAGGCUACAAUGCCGUUAGGAGGCACUCACUUACAGCCUAUGUGAUCAUGUCCAACCGUCUUUCAGGAUUUUCGUUGGAGCUCCUCGACUUUGCCUCACAGUUCGACAGGGUCGUCCUCGACAUGCACUACUAUGCGUUGUUCGAUAAAAAGUUUGAUAGUUUCACUGUGCAGGAUAACAUUGAUUAUUUCAACAACUUCAUCGCCAGUGAAAUCAACGCUAUAAAUAGGCCAGAUGGCCCUCUCACAUUUGUUGGUGAAUGGGUGGCUGAGUGGCAGGUAAAGGAUGCAACAAAAGAGGACUUCCAACGGUUUGCAAAUGCGCAGAUGGCUGUGUAUCGGAAAGCCACAUUUGGAUGGGCUUACUGGACCUACAAGAAUGUUAACAACCACUGGAGCAUGCAGUGGAUGAUGGACCCCUACAUCUCCUUAGGAAAUGCUUGA